AAAUAAUCCAGACAUUUGUCGUGUACCUAUUAUGGAAAGCGUUUGGACUCUGUCUCUUUUGCUUUCCUUCUCCUUUUUCUUUGAUGAAUUGUUCUUAGAAACGGUAGACUGCGCAGGAAAGGAUUCGGGUGGGGGAGCGUCUACCUCCUCUCCCAAGCCUGAUGAAUGGCAAAUGGCGCUAGAUCUACCGGAUAAUAAAGUUGUACCGGAAUGUCUACGCU
rnacentral:lncRNA from 1 species